rnacentral:misc_RNA from 1 species
AUGGAAUCUGUCUUUCCGGAGAGCUUUUCUCGAUGCUGGCGCGGACUUCGUUGCCUGAGGGCGCACCUUCAGGCAGUCGCAGGCACAACAACACAAACACCUUUGUCCACAAUCCCCUUAACUUCAACGUGCAGGACCGCCGGCUGAACACACGGCUGCUGAAAGAGACGCAGCGCCGCAAGGCACAACUGCUCGGAAUGACGCGGCACGAUGUUGCGCGUCAGCUGCACCGGUACACCGUGCCGCCGUCCUCAAUCAUGGACGAGCGGCACCGCGGUGGGCCCAGGACCGGGAAGAGCGCAUCUCAUACCAAAUCAGCUACCGGCGUCAGAAAGGCAACGCCUUGGACUGGUGCGGAUGCGGCCAGUGCUGUCAGUUCCCCUUUGGGCAUCCACUCAGAAGCAGGUGAGUCCUCGUCUUCCAGCAGAGAAUCCUACUCACGCUUGCAGACGCAGUACGCCCAAAACUUACGGAGAAAGAAGGACACGGUGAACUACUGGCUGAACUCGUCCACCUCACCCGGCGAAGACGACGAGCGAACUGGCUCAGUGCCGUCGGUGCGGCCAACGGCGUCGUACGAGGAAUGGCUUUCAGCUGGUUGUCCGACGGGGUCGUGGUCCGUUUUGCUGCAGGAGGAGGUUUACGCGCCGUUGGAGGCGGAGCGAGCCUUUCUUAUAGCCAAGUACAACCCCAAAGAGAGGCCUCAGUCGUAGUGUCCUCUGCCGCUUUCUUUCGCUUCCUCUUCCCACUCAUUCUCUUGUAUCAGGCACUCAUGAGCUCGCAUGUAUCGUGUGCUCCGCACGUCGCUGGGCACUGCUGCGAAGCUGGCGCCUUUGGAGGCAGUCAACGAGCGAGUGGCAUUGCCAAGCCCAUGCGCCCACGCAUCGGUAGUCAGACAGCGAAGCAGCAAGGCAGAGACAAUACAAAGGUGAUUUGUAGAAAGAAGAGGGGGAUGGGAGUUGUGUGUGUGUGUGUGAGGCAGUGGUUCGUGUGAUGUCACGCACUCGUGUCGCCCAUCCAGCCUCCUCAAACUUUUUCGUGUUUUGCGCUGCGCUUCUCUUCGCUCUCGUUCUCUCACUCGCUGCCCCCCUGCCCCUUGCGCUAUUCGCUGCUGUGGUGCGGUUGCUGGCGUGCGUGUGUGCGUGUGCGGGCUUGUUUCGUCUGCGCCUGCGCGGCCCCGCCUUCGUUAUGCUGGAAUGUACGUUGGCAUGCACAGGCAUGUGCAUAUGUAUGCGCGCGUGUGCGCUUGUCGCCUCGCCCCCUCUUGUUUUGUUUUUCUCACUCUGCAAGCGCUAUACAGGGCAAAAGCGAUAGGGCUGAGAAAGCGGGAUGACGGGUGGAGAAAGGGGUAAGGAUACUGCCAUCCCCUCCUCAAGCGUACCCUUUCCCUGGACGUGUAUGUGCUUCGCCACUCGCCGUUUCUGAGCUUUUGCGCUCUCACUUGCUUUGUAGACGCGUGUGCUGCUGCCUAUCGAGGUGGCUUGGACUCAUCGCGCAAGUGCAGGCCCUCACCAUUUCUCCUCCCUGUCUUUGUUCUGUUGGUGAUUCGUCACCUGUAGGUCGAACUCGCCGCAUCUCGUUUUUGUUUCUCCCUCGGGUUUUGCGUGCCGGUGCUGCAGCAUCGAUUCUCCGCCUUUUACCUGCUCUCGUCUGCCCCAUGCGAGUCUUUGUACGCGCGAGCGAUAGUGAGCCUCAGGGACCUUGGUAGAGCUGUCCUUGUACCGCUCCGCUGAGGAACUUCCUGUGUCUUUCGUUGCCUCCAAGGAUGAAGUACUCGUAUGCCAUCUGCGACGCGAAGGCGUGCCCCUCUACUUCGCAUACCUGGGCACGUGACCGUAUUGGUGGUUGCAUUGCCGGAGGUGAAAGCGACGACAAGCCCGCGGCAACAGUGCUGAGAAUCCGUGGGCUGUGGAAUGGUAGGCCUCUAUACCCUUGGGUAGCUAACCCCGUUCCCUCUUGCCCGUCAAACACGCUCGGCGGAUUCGCAGCUGCCAUUCGUGUGCCACCUGCCCCCAGAGCUCGAGGCGCUGCUUGAUGGGCAGGCGGGGGGGAGAGACAGGAGUGGUGCUCAUCCAGGCUUACACGUCACUGCCCUCUCACAUGUAACACUCCUUCCCCUCUCAACCGCGAGUGCACAGGCGGCGGCGAAUCGUCUCAUGCGGCCCUGAAUCUGAUAGCAGAGCUGCUGCGGGGCAUGGUGAGCUAUCGAAUUGCGCAGGAUGCCUUCUCUGCAUCGUUUGUCAUCGCAGAGGCGUCAUAGUGCAGGAGAGACUGAGAUUUCCCAGGGAGUGGUGGCCAUGUGCGUGUGUGUGUCUGUGUGCGUUCUCCCUGUUUUUCUGGGCCGGUACUUCAACUCCCGCUGCUGUUGCUGUUGCUCCACCCCUCUUCCUACGGCGUCUUGUACUCCUCUCUCUUGCUCACUCACCCCAUCGCACCGACGUGAGGUGGAAAAAUCACCGCGCAUGAACUCCGGCAUGGACAGAAGACGU